UCGGCCCUGGUGUUUGGUGGGUU
rnacentral:miRNA from 1 species